UACGGAGGGUCCAAGCGUUAUCCGGAUUUAUUGGGUUUAAAGGGUCCGUAGGCGGGUUAUUAAGUCAGUGGUGAAAUCCUACAGCUCAACUGUAGAACUGCCAUUGAAACUGGUAACCUUGAGUAUAAUUGAAGUGGGCGGAAUGUGUCAUGUAGCGGUGAAAUGCUUAGAUAUGACACAGAACACCGAUUGCGAAGGCAGCUCACUAAGUUAUAACUGACGCUGAGGGACGAAAGCGUGGGUAGCGAACAGG
rnacentral:rRNA from 1 species